UACGAAGGGUGCAAACGUUGCUCGGAAUUAUUGGGCGUAAAGCGCACGUAGGCGGCUCUUUAAGUCAGGGGUGAAAUCCCAAGGCUCAACCUUGGAACUGCCUUUGAUACUGGGGAUCUCGAGUCCGGAAGAGGUGAGUGGAACUGCGAGUGUAGAGGUGAAAUUCGUAGAUAUUCGCAAGAACACCAGUGGCGAAGGCGGCUCACUGGUCCGGUACUGACGCUGAGGUGCGAAAGCGUGGGGAGCAAACAGG
rnacentral:rRNA from 1 species